GCCGUUAUAGCUUAGUGGUAGAACGCGUCCUUGGUAAGGACGAAGCCCGAGUUCGAUUCUCGGUAACGGCACCA
rnacentral:tRNA from 21 species